CCAAUUGAAAUGAUGAGGUUUUCAUGUCUCUUCUCUGACAAAUCCUGGAGACACUUAAAACUUCUGAUCUCAAAAACUGU
rnacentral:snoRNA from 1 species